UAUUAUGAGCCAUAAAGAGAUUUUUGAUUUCCCUUCAUUUAAUGGAGAACAUCCAUAUAUAGUAUGAUUCAAUAUAGCAUAAAAUAUAUAUCUUUAAUAUUAUUAAUAUUUUUAAUCGACAUAAUAAUAUAAGAUGUUUGCGUUUUGUUUUACUUACAGGGUAUUUUAAUGGUUCCGUGGAAUUAUAGUCCGUGUGUUUUAGUGGCAGCAAGUUGGUGUUUGACUCACUUCACACCGAUCACUAGACAAUAGUGAUACCUGGGUUCCAGCAUUCAUCAUACAUCAACUAUCAACAGUUAAAAUAUAACGCGGUCGAACCAGUGGACGAAAACUGCGACUCUUCGUAUUGGUUUCUAGCCAAACAUUCAACGUACAAAGGAAAUUUUUUUUACGAGUACUUAUUAAUGAACCAGAUCCCGUGUCCGUACGUGUAUUGCCAUUAUUCCAACUCCACGACAUGUCCGAUUAAUAAAGAGAUAAAGAAAAAUUGCAUAUCUGCCACGGUUGUGUGUAAUAAUCAUCUGAUGAGUUUUGCCGAGUUCGGAUAUGAAGAUGGCCGAUCUGUGAUUUAUCACAAAAUUACAAACGAGGUUAUUACGUGGUUACAACAAUACGUAUAAAAUAUAAAUAUAACGCGAACAUACUAGAAGUAUACUCGAACAAUGAAAGUUAUUUGAAUGAUUAAAUUAUUUAAAUAGACCCUUCAACUUGCAAUUUUAUUGAAAUUGGUAUAAUUAUAUUGA